UACAGAGGUCUCAAGCGUUGUUCGGAUUCAUUGGGCGUAAAGGGCUCGUAGGCGGCCAACUCAGUCGGACGUGAAAUCCCUCGGCUUAACCGGGGAACUGCGUCCGAUACUGGAUGGCUUGAGUGUGGGAGAGGGAUGCGGAAUUCCAGGUGUAGCGGUGAAAUGCGUAGAUAUCUGGAGGAACACCGGUGGCGAAGGCGGCAUCCUGGACUACUACUGACGCUGAGGAGCGAAAGCCAGGGGAGCAAACGGG
rnacentral:rRNA from 1 species